rnacentral:rRNA from 1 species
AUGAACGCUAGCGAUAGGCUUAACACAUGCAAGUCGAGGGGCAGCAUGGUCUUAGCUUGCUCAGACUGAUGGCGACCGGCGCACGGGUGCGUAACGCGUAUGCAACUUGCCUCACAGAGGGGGAUAACCCGUCGAAAGACGGACUAAUACCGCGUACACUCCAUCUUGGGCAUCCAAGGUAGAGGAAAUGAAAUUCGCUGUGAGAUAGGCAUGCGUCCCAUUAGCUAGUUGGUGAGGUAACGGCUCACCAAGGCGACGAUGGGUAGGGGAACUGAGAGGUUGAACCCCCACACUGGUACUGAGACACGGACCAGACUCCUACGGGAGGCAGCAGUGAGGAAUAUUGGUCAAUGGGCGAGAGCCUGAACCAGCCAAGUCGCGUGAAGGAUGACUGUCUUAUGGAUUGUAAACUUCUUUUAUACGGGAAUAACAAGAGUCACGUGUGACUCCCUGCAUGUACCGUAUGAAUAAGCAUCGGCUAACUCCGU